CUUUACUGUUUUUGAUUCAAUAUAUUCUUCAGCAGCAGCAGGUUAGAAACUUGCUACUCAGCCCUGGGAGAGGUGAGCACCAGCUCCCUGUUUGGCCAGAUGGGAAAUUUUAAUAACACUACCUGCAAAAUCCAAUUUAGGAUAGCAAUAAUCACACAGAGGCAAAAGUAGUAGUGCUUGGCUUUUCUUUCACAGAAACCAAUGUGAAUAAGUGUUAGCUACUUAUACAUGGGAUCAAGGGCAAGUGAAAAUUGCUCAUGGUAGUGUAACUGAUUGCCACUAUCUUUACAAAGAUCUUUCACUGGCAUUGUCUGUGUAACCACUGGAUAGCAAAGGCUGGUCACGUGUGGCAGUGGCUGGCAUAAGCUCUUUAUAUAGCUUUGCUCGGAUAAAACUUACAGUGCUGCAAAAGGCUUUGGUGGUAUCUGAAUAAAACAGGGGAAAAAAGUCAGUCAGGGUUCUCUCAGACAAAUUCUUCCCUAAUAUAUGCUGUUGCCCAGGGGAGCACUGAACCAAGGCUGUCAGUCUGUCAAAGAUAACAUUACUUCAGUUAAACUUGCUCAUAAUUCUUUGCUAAGGAGAGAUUUGUGUGCAGUAUGUCCAGAUAACUAAUGCCAGCUGUACUUAUUUCUCACAGACUAGUUUCUUCUUUCAACUCCACCUCUUUUUUAUCAUAUUUCUUUCCAUCUCCUUUCUUUGCUUUGAUUUUCUGUUACCAUAAUCUCUCCUAAUUUUUUUCUUCACUUGAUUUGUGGCAUUCCAAUAAAACUCUGCUGAAGGGUGUAAUCACUUUGCCUCACAGAUUCCUGAUGCAGUUCGUGUGGCCUUUUUAUUACAAGCACGAUCAUAAUGAUGGAGUGGGCCAUCAUAUGUCAUAUGCCAUUGCUCCUAGGACAGGAUACAGGGCAUGGGUUUUUUGGCACUCUUCUCCGCACCCAUUGUAGAGCUGCUCAGCUCUGCUGAAUGCAUAUUUUUCUGAUUUCUUUUUGGUGCACAGGACACUCAGAAUUUUCUGUUCUGUCUUUUACAUGGAGACUUCAUGACAACAGACUACAAAGGGGACUACAGCAUCUCUGCAAGACAAGAAGAAAAUAUGCAAGGUGCACAUCUGAAGAGCACCAACAAGGAGAAUGUGAUGUAGCUAUGAAAACUGAGCUCCUAACAUCUCACUUCAGCAUGCAGUAAACAAGAUUUAAAAAAAACAAAGCCAGGAAGAGGUCUGAACUGCAGAUGUACUGCUGUGAGUAUUGAGAAGGAUACUAUUACUCAGCAGCAGUUUAAACUUCCCUAAGCUGAACUGAGCUGUGAGUACUUAGGUGUUAACCAAGGAAGAACAGCUUCCAGAAGCUGCUAUAACCAGCAGCAGGAGGUGGGAAGUGCUUGAACCUGAUCCACCAGAGCAAGUUGCCUUCAAGAGCUCCCUGUGCUGGCAGCAGGCAAUACUCAUCACCCCAUUUCAGCUGGAGCUCACUCUGGCUGUAUUCUUCUCUUCACCUGUUCUCUGUCCAUCAAGUCUCUAUCAGUUUUCCAUUCAUGAUGGAUCAGUGCCUACCAUAAUAGUGUUCAUUAUUCAUCAUUGAAUCACAGAAUGGCUGAGGCUGGCAGGAUCCUCUGGCCCAACCCCAGCUUCAGCAGGGCCACCCAGAGCAGGUGCCCAGGCCCACAUCCAAGUGGCUUAUGAAGAUCCCCAAGGAGGAGACCCCACAGCCUCUGGGCAGCCCAUGCCAGUGCUCCGUCACCUGCACAGCACAGAAGUGCUCCUGGUGUUCAGAGGGAGCCUCCUGUGCUCCAGUUCGUGCCCAUCAUCUCUUGACUUGGCUCUGGGAACCACACCAGACAGUAAACAUCGACCUCGGAUAUGAGUGGAAUAAACUCCAGUGAUAGAAAUGAUGACA
rnacentral:lncRNA from 1 species